GGUUGUUAUAGCUCAAUUGGUUAGAGUACUUGUUUGUGGAGCAAGAAGUUAUGGGUUCAAGUCCCAUUAAUAACC
rnacentral:tRNA from 1 species